rnacentral:rRNA from 1 species
CCUACGGGAGGCAGCAGUGGGGAAUAUUGGUCAAUGGGCGAUAGCCUGAACCAGCCAAGUAGCGUGAAGGAUGACUGCCCUAUGGGUUGUAACCUUCUUUUAUAUGGGAAUAAAGUGCAGUAUGUAUACUGCUUUGCUUGUACCUUAUGAAUAAGGAUCGGCUAACUCCGUGCCAGCAGCCGCGGUAAUACGGAGGAUCCGAGCGUUAUCCGGAUUUAUUGGGUUUAAAGUGAGCGUAGGCGGGUUGUUAAGUCAGUUGUGAAAGUUUGCGGCUCAACCGUAAAAUUGCAGUUGAUACUGGCAGCCUUGAGUACAGUAGAGGUAGGCGGAAUUCGUGGUGUAGCGGUGAAAUGCUUAGAUAUCACGAAGAACUCCGAUUGCGAAGGCAGCCUGCUGGACUGUGACUGACACUGAUGCUCGAAAGUGUGGGUAUCAAACAGGAUUAGAUACCCGAGUAGUC